rnacentral:rRNA from 1 species
CCUACGGGAGGUAGCAGUAAGGAAUAUUGGUCAAUGGGGGCAACCCUGAACCAGCCAUGCCGCGUGCAGGAAGACGGCCCUACGGGUUGUAAACUGCUUUUAUACGGGAAUAAACCUCUCUUCGUGAAGAGAGCUGAAUGUACUGUAAGAAUAAGGAUCGGCUAACUCCGUGCCAGCAGCCGCGGUAAUACGGAGGAUCCAAGCGUUAUCCGGAUUUAUUGGGUUUAAAGGGUGCGUAGGCGGCCUAUUAAGUCAGGGGUGAAAGACGGUGGCUCAACCAUCGCAGUGCCCUUGAUACUGAUGGGCUUGAUUACACUUGAGGUAGGCGGAAUGUGACAAGUAGCGGUGAAAUGCAUAGAUAUGUCACAGAACACCAAUUGCGAAGGCAGCUUACUAAGGUGUUAAUGACGCUGAGGCACGAAAGCGUGGGGAUCAAACAGGAUUAGAUACCCUGGUAGUCCACGCCCUAAACGAUGAAUACUCGAUGUUAGCGAUAUACAGUUAGCGUCAAAGCGAAAAGCGUCAAGUAUUCCACCUGGGGAGUACGCCCGCAAGGGUGAAACUCAAAGANAGUGCGNGNGAGAGCGACGACGACGACGAGGAGGAGGAGG